rnacentral:rRNA from 1 species
AAUAGAUACCCGGUAGUCCACGCCGUAAACGAUGGAUACUAGUUGUUGGAGGACUCGACCCCUUCAGUGACGACGCUAACGCAUUAAGUAUCCCGCCUGGGGAGUACGGUCGCAAGAUUAAAACUCAAAGGAAUAGACGGGGACCCACACAAGCGGUGGAGCACCUGGCUUAAUUCGAUACUGAGCGAGGAACCUUACCUGGACUUGACAUCCCGAGAAUUCUCUAGAAAUAGGGAAGUGCCUUCUGGAACUCGGUGACAGGUGCUGCAUGGUUGUCGUCAGCUCGUGCCUUGAGGUGUUCGGUUAAGUCCGUAAACGAGCGCAACCCAUGUCCUGUGUUGUAUUUCUCACAGGAGACUGCCGAUUCAAAAUCGGAGGAAGGUAUGGAUGACGUCAAAUCAGCAUGGCCCUUAUGUCCAGGGCUGCACAGGUGCUACAAUGGAUGGUACAACGGGUAGCAAUGCCGCAAGGCGGAGCCAAUCCUUAAAGCCAUCCCAAGUUCGGAUUGGGGGCUGCACUCCGCCCUAUG